AGAGUUUGAUCAUGGCUCAGAGCGAACGCUGGCGGCAGGCCUAAUACAUGCAAGUCGAACGGAUCCUUCGGGAUCAGUGGCGGACGGGUGAGUAACGCGUGGGAACGUGCCCUUUGGUACGGAACAACUGAGGGAAACUUCAGCUAAUACCGUAUGUGCCCUUCGGGGGAAAGGUUUAUCGCCAUUGGAGCGGCCCGCGUUGGAUUAGGUAGUUGGUGAGGUAAAGGCUCACCAAGCCUACGAUCCAUAGCUGGUCUGAGAGGAUGACCAGCCACACUGGGACUGAGACACGGCCCAGACUCCUACGGGAGGCAGCAGUAGGGAAUCUUGCGCAAUGGGCGAAAGCCUGACGCAGCCAUGCCGCGUGAAUGAUGAAGGUCUUAGGAUUGUAAAAUUCUUUCACCGGGGACGAUAAUGACGGUACCCGGAGAAGAAGCCCCGGCUAACUUCGUGCCAGCAGCCGCGGUAAUACGAAGGGGGCUAGCGUUGCUCGGAAUUACUGGGCGUAAGGGGCGCGUAGGCGGAUAGUUUAGUGAGAGGUGAAAGCCCAGGGCUCAACCUUGGAACUGCCUUUCAUACUGGCUAUCUUGAGUACGGGAGAGGUGAGUGGAACUCCGAGUGUAGAGGUGAAAUUCGUAGAUAUUCGGAAGAACACCAGUGGCGAAGGCGACUCACUGGCCCGUUACUGACGCUGAGGCGCGAAAGCGUGGGGAGCAAACAGGAUUAGAUACCCCUGGUAGUCCACGCCGUAAACGAUGAGUGCUAGUUGUCGGCAUGCAUGCAUGUCGGUGACGCAGCUAACGCAUUAAGCACUCCGCCUGGGGAGUACGGUCGCAAGAUUAAAACUCAAAUGAAUUGACGG
rnacentral:rRNA from 1 species